GAGCAGCACCAGACGAACUUGCAGAAGUUCCUGGUGCAGCUGUCGCAGGAGAACCAGCUCAAUAACCUUUGGAGCCAGGGGGAGUGCAGCACGUUAGACUAUGUGGAGCAAGUCUGCAGCAUCAUCGAUGACCGCUCUGCAAGAGAUGCCGCUUUACGGGAGAUGCUUCAAGAGCUCAUUGAGAUGGAGCCUACCGACGCAAAGCCCUGAUCUGUCCGCUGCUGGACGAAGGCCUUCCCAAGUUGCUGUGAUCUCUCCCGGUUCUGCAAAUGCAGCGACCGACUGCGCGCGCGCGCCUGCGCACGGGGCUGAUUUCGUCGCCCUGUCUCCGUUCCGUACAGGAUCUCCCCCGGUGUUUUCUCUACCUUCACUGCCAUCCUCUCAUUAUUCUUGCCUAUGUACGCCCGUAUAUCGAGCGAAGUGUCUCCUCUCCAAGGGAAAUUGCCUGGUCAAAAAGCCCGCUGACCUGAACCGUUUAUAUGAUGUUUCUAUAACCCUGCCUGUGCUUUCUGUGAGAAAAACUAAAUUUUCUCAAGACAAACGCUUUUGUGAAAGUGUGAGAAAGUCCACGUAUGUGCAUGGUUUUUCGUCCUUGUUUUUGCAGCAUUUACUAAUUGCAUUUCUUCUCUCGUCAAUUUUUGUUCUAAGUUUAAGAAUAAUUUCUCUCUGUAACCUGUCUUUUCCAUUUUGGAUGUGUGAAUGUGAGGAAUUCUGAUUUCUUCAUUCAAAUAUUUGCAUUACUUUGGCACCAAUGUUUCUCCCAAAGUGA